UGCUUCACCACCUCAUCCCAUGUCUUCCUGAGUCUACCUCUUCUCUAAAAAACAAUCACUAUAACUUUAUGUGUUAAUUGCUGGCCCUUGAACUUUUUAGGCCUUAGCAGUGCGAUAUCAUUCCGUAGGUAUAUUAUAUCUUUGUGUAAUGUCAGAAUGCAAUGUUUAUGAUGAAGACAUUAUCACAGCACAACUCUGUAGGUCACCUGACUCCUAAAGUUCAGAACGUAAAGACAAACUAACGACCGCUUAGCAUUUUGCCCGGUGUACUAACGAUUCAGCCAGCCUACUGCCUCACUCUUGCUGUAUAAAUAUUGAACGAAAGGAAGAUCCUACGCAUUGAAGAUAUUCUUAAUUUGCAAUGUGGAGGAUUUUAACUCUCGUGAGUUAAACAAAAGAGUGGAAAAUGUUAAGAAGGUACUAUAGAUGAAACGCAAGGUAUUUAGAGUGGGGUUUCAUUUUCCUUAGAGAAUAUUUAAACCAGGUUCAAAACUUAUAUUUUUAAAGCAUUUAAAAAUAUUCAUGGGGAUUAGAAUUACAAUUAGACAUGACGAAUGUCAAGAUUCAAUAUAAUUUCAUCGUAUGUCCUCAUCUUUGGUAGACAGGACAGACGCAGCUGAAGUGGUUUGGGCCAUAGGUUUGGUCGAUCAGUAGUGACAGGGGCUAAACAACAUCUUUAGAAAUACCAAUUUCAAAUUUUGGCACAAGUUCAGAAGUCUGGGAGAAGUGGGUUAGUCGAUUACAUCGACUCCAGUGUUCAAUUGGUACGUAUUUUAUCGACCUCGAAAGGCAAAGACGACUUUGGCCGAAUUUGAACUUGGAACGUGAAGACGGACGAAAUGCCGCUUAGCAUUUUAUCCGGCGUGUCAACGAUUCUGCCAGCUCGCUCCUUAACAACUGUAGAAAUAUUGGGUACUCACAGUUCGUGCACUCGCGUAGUCGCACAUCCGCGCUAGCUAGUCGU
rnacentral:lncRNA from 1 species